rnacentral:misc_RNA from 1 species
UUUCCGUAGGUGAACCUGCGGAAGGAUCAUUAUUGAAUAAACUUGAUGUGGUUGUAGCUGGUCUCCACCUGGGGGCAUGUGCUCGCCCAUCACCUUUAUAUUUCCACCUGUGCACUCUUUGUAGACUUUGAAUAUGAUCACUUUCCGAGGAAACUCGGUCGUAGAGGAUUGCUCUGUUAACAUGGCGCUUUUCUUGCAUGUACAAAGUCUAUGUUUUUCAUAUACUCCAAAAAUGUAACAGAAUGUAUCUUGGGUCUUUGUGCCCUAUAAACUAUAUACAACUUUCAGCAACGGAUCUCUUGGCUCUC